rnacentral:rRNA from 1 species
UACGUAGGGUGCAAGCGUUGUCCGGAAUUAUUGGGCGUAAAGAGCUCGUAGGCGGCUUGUCACGUCGGGUGUGAAAGCCCGGGGCUUAACCCCGGGUCUGCAUUCGAUACGGGCUGGCUAGAGUGUGGUAGGGGAGAUCGGAAUUCCUGGUGUAGCGGUGAAAUGCGCAGAUAUCAGGAGGAACACCGGUGGCGAAGGCGGGACUCUGGGCCGAUACUGACGCUGAGGAGCGAAAGCGUGGGGAGCGAACAGG